GCUGCGAGUAGAAGCAGUCGGGGCACAGUCCUGGACAUUGCUCGACGG
rnacentral:ncRNA from 1 species